UUGACCAAAGCCUUUAACCCAGAGUAAUCUGGAAGAAGUCUCAGAUUUCUGUUUCCAUAUCUGUUUUUACCAUAGAGGAUAAACAAUUUUUGUGAUACAGACUUGGACACAUCUCUGUUUAUAAUAACUUGUCAACGGGAAAGAAGAGAGCCAAAUGAAUUAGUCUUUCACUCCCUGUGUAUCAAAAUGGGGAUGGACAUCUGGGCUGUUGAUUUUUAGCCUAAAUAUCAGCUCAGCAUCACAUGCAUUUGGGACUCUAGAAAAUAAAGCCAUCUAUAUCACUUAUGCAUAACAGAAAACAGUGGACAACAGGAAAAACCUCCUUUGAAUUUCAGUUGAAGGUCUUAUUUGAUCUACAAAGACCUACUCCCUGACACAUGGCUGAGGGGAGUCUCAUGCCACUGAGUCAUUCCCCAUCAUCAGCAAAGCUCCAUCCAGACUUGGUCACCAGGGCUGAAAAAAAGCUGACCCUAGCAUGGGAGGCAAAACAGGGAGAUCAUCUUCUAUCUCAACUCAUCCCAACAUAGUACUUCACAUCUUGAGCACCACAGAGCAACAGUAUAGGAGACACCAGCCUUGUGCUGAGUGGUUCAUCUUCCUUGGUUUUCAGCCAUGACUCAGCAGUUGGCAGCACGAGACACCCCUGCUCUCCCACCCCAAGGACAUCAUAUAUAUGUUCAUUUUAAAUAUAGGGAGGUGAUCCACUCCUCUAGCACAGAUGCUUAGCCAAUUAGAUUGGUCUGAGUGUCCUCAGCAUUUAAGCAGAUCACUGACAAAAAUAGAAAAUCAGAAGGACUUGGAAGCUAUUUUGGUCUAGGCUUUGACUGUAAAAGGUAUGGCUGAUAACUGAGACCACUGGCUCCAUUACAAAUAAACGCUCCAUUUAGAGUAGACAGAUGAACUGAAUCAAAUAGAUGAGCUUCUGUUUUUACAUCUUGGUAAGUGUUUUGCUAUGAGAAAUAGUCUUCACUUGAUCUACAUUGCCUUAUCUCAAUGUCCCCUACAAAGAAAGCAAUUAUCCCCUACUGUCCCCAAAUAUCUUCUCUCUUUCACAGAUAUUCAACUACCACUCUAUACAAAUGUUUUCAGAUAUUGUCUUUUGAUUCAGAGCACCACUAUCCAUACAUGAAAAUGCAGCUCAUAUCUUGCAGCAAUAUGAGAGGACUUCAGUUUCCAGUAGAUAAGAUUGCUGCACUAAACUACAUCUUGGAAUGUAAUAUCCAGCCUCUGAUCUCCGUGUGACCCACUAUUUUCCUCCCACUGUAGCAUGUGAGAAAUUUUAAUGGUCUUUUUUUCUCAGUCAACACCUGUGAGAGGGAGGGAAGUAUCAUUAUCUCAGUUCUACAGAGGAUCACCAUUAGCAGAAACAAGCUAAGGUCAAGGUUAUCUGAAACGUCUACAACCCAGCCAGAAAUAGUUCUUCUGGGUCCUUCUGAGGCUUUGACCACACACUGAAAAAAGUCAGCAUUUCAUUCGAACAAACACUGAAUCAAAAAAUGGACGAACAACUCAAAAUGAGACAGUGGCAGAAUAUCAGUUUGCAACCUCUUUCCUAAUACAGGCAUCUCAACUGAACGCAUGGAGGAAAUGUGUGAAAAGCACUUCCUGUGCUGUUUUGCUCACUUUGCUCCGGUAUGCCAAGGAUACUCAACAAUACGUGUCUUGGAAAUUUUCAAACUGUUUCUGGAGUGCCAAGAUAUAGUAGAUGAUACCUCCUAACAAAUCACCUUGGACUUCCCUUGAGGAGAAACUCACUACUGGAGUCCAGCCUGACUAUAGAAUUAUGGAAUAAUUCGUGUUGGAAGGGGCUUCUGGAGACCCCUACUCUAACCUCUGUUCAGAGCAGAGGACUCAACUUCUGAGCAGUCUGCUCCAGCUGUCAAUAUUGUCAAGGAUGGAGAGUCUCCAAAAAUCAAACUACUUGAAGAAGAGCAAUAAAUAAUGGAAUCAAAUUCUUCUUGGCAGUGGUGAAAAGUCAAGUGAGGAACAGUAAUAAAGGGUAGAAGAAGAGGUUGCUAGACUGCACUUAGGAAGCUCAGAUUGGCCACUAGGACACUUGUUUUUUUUUUCCUGGAGGUGGAUGGUGCAGCUCUGAGACCUACAUCUGGAGAGGAGGUAAGAACUUUACCUUUGGGGGUUUCCAAGACUUAGCCAGACAACAGCAGAGUUGGUUGCUUUCAAUGUGAGAUUGGACCACAGAACUCCAGAAGCCCUCUUCAACUUGUGUGUCUGUGUGAAGUAGAUAGCUCAAUGGAUCAAUUGGUCAGUGGAAGUCAACAUAGCUUUUAUAAAGACACGCCAUACCUCACAAAUCCAUCAGAUAUUUCUGGAAGGUUGUCAGACAUGAGGGCUAGAGCUGUUCUACUGAUUCACUGCAGCCAGUUUUUGAAAAACACAGGCAGCUGAAUUCUCUCUCCCAGUAAAGGUUCUUAAAGAAAUUACUGUCAUGAAAUAUCAUAAACUCAUAAGAAUGAAAUACUGGAAGUUAAAAGUAGGCAUAAAUUAUUAUAUGUAUGCACACAUACAUAUAAUAAUGCAUGUACACAUGCAUGCAUAUGUUUCUUUGUGUACAUUUUUGUGUGUAUACAUAUGUAACAUUUAUAUAAUAAGCUUCUGGAAAGUCCCCUGAGAAUUUAUGCUGAAUUUCUUCUGUUCACUACCAUCACAGUGAUCUGGAAAAGGGAUGAGCAAUCAAAUGAUCAAGUGACCAGCUGCUGUAAGUUAUCCAGGAUUUUGAGAUCUAAAUCUGAAUAUGAAUAACUGUGACAUGAUGCUGAGUGACCAGGCAAUGAAACCACUGGUAAAAUGCAGUGUCAAUAAGCAUAGGUUAAUCUGUGUGGGAGAAAUCACAUUAGCCAUACACAGAAAGUAAAAGGACCAGAGUCAUUGUGAGCAAUCAUCUGAAAAUUCCAGCUCAGUCGCUUUGAAAAAGAGAAUGAUAGGAAUAACUAGAGCAAGGCAAAGAAAAUAAA
ensembl:lncRNA